GUCGAACGGUGAAGCAGAGCUUGCUCUGUGGAUCAGUGGCGAACGGGUGAGUAACACGUGAGCAACCUGCCCCGGACUCUGGGAUAAGCGCUGGAAACGGCGUCUAAUACCGGAUACGAGAUUCCACCGCAUGGUGAGUUUCUGGAAAGAUUUUUUGGUCUGGGAUGGGCUCACGGCCUAUCAGCUUGUUGGUGAGGUAAUGGCUCACCAAGGCGUCGACGGGUAGCCGGCCUGAGAGGGUGACCGGCCACACUGGGACUGAGACACGGCCCAGACUCCUACGGGAGGCAGCAGUGGGGAAUAUUGCACAAUGGGCGGAAGCCUGAUGCAGCAACGCCGCGUGAGGGAUGACGGCCUUCGGGUUGUAAACCUCUUUUAGCAGGGAAGAAGCGAAAGUGACGGUACCUGCAGAAAAAGCGCCGGCUAACUACGUGCCAGCAGCCGCGGUAAUACGUAGGGCGCAAGCGUUAUCCGGAAUUAUUGGGCGUAAAGAGCUCGUAGGCGGUUUGUCGCGUCUGCUGUGAAAUCCCGAGGCUCAACCUCGGGUCUGCAGUGGGUACGGGCAGACUAGAGUGCGGUAGGGGAGAUUGGAAUUCCUGGUGUAGCGGUGGAAUGCGCAGAUAUCAGGAGGAACACCGAUGGCGAAGGCAGAUCUCUGGGCCGUUACUGACGCUGAGGAGCGAAAGGGUGGGGAGCAAACAGGCUUAGAUACCCUGGUAGUCCACCCCGUAAACGUUGGGAACUAGUUGUGGGGUCCAUUCCACGGAUUCCGUGACGCAGCUAACGCAUUAAGUUCCCCGCCUGGGGAGUACGG
rnacentral:rRNA from 1 species